CUGUCGUUUGCCUAAAAAGCAUUAUAUAGCAAGGGCCGGGCAAGACCGGUGCCAGCCGCCGCGGUAACACCGGCGGCUCGAGUGGUAACCGUUAUUAUUGGGUCUAAAGGGUCUGUAGCCGGCUGGAUAAGUCUCUUGGGAAAUCUGGCAGCUCAACUGUCAGUCUUUCAGGAGAUACUGUCCGGCUCGAGACCGGGAGAGGUGAGAGGUACCUCAGGGGUAGGGGUGAAAUCUUGUAAUCCUUGAGGGACCACCAGUGGCGAAGGCGUCUCACCAGAACGGAUCUGACGGCAAGGGACGAAAGCUAGGGGCACGAACCGGAUUAGAUACCCGGGUAGCCCUAGCCGUAAACGAUACUCGCUAGGUGUCGGCCACGGUGCGACCGUGGUCGGUGCCGUAGGGAAGCCGUGAAGCGAGCCACCUGGGAAGUACGGCCGCAAGGCUGAAACUUAAAGGAAUUGGCGGGGGAGCACUACAACGGGUGGAGCUUGCGGUUUAAUUGGAUUCAACGCCGGAAAUCUCACCGGGACCGACAGCGAUAUGAAGGCCAGGCUGAAGACCUUGCCGGAUUAGCUGAGAGGUGGUGCAUGGCCGUCGUCAGUUCGUACUGUGAAGCAUCCUGUUAAGUCAGGCAACGAGCGAGACCCACGCCCACAGUUGCCAGCGUACUCUCUGGAGUGACGGGUACACUGUGGGGACCGCCGCUGCUAAAGCGGAGGAAGGAAUGGGCAACGGUAGGUCAGUAUGCCCCGAAUAUCCCGGGCUACACGCGAGCUACAAUGGUUGGUACAUGGGUAUCUACCCCGAAAGGGGAUGGAAAUCUCCUAACGCCAAUCUUAGUCCGGAUCGAGGGCUGAACUCGCCCUCGUGAAGCUGAAUCCGUAUAAACCGCAGGCACAGUAUCGGAAC
rnacentral:rRNA from 1 species